rnacentral:rRNA from 1 species
AAUCCUGCCUAUGCCCAAUGGCUUGCCCAAGAUCAACAAGUUCUGGGGUACGUGUUCAAUUCUCUCUCGAAGGAAGUGUUGACUCAGGUCGCCUCAUUGCUUAGUGCGGCUGAACUCUGGGCAACCCUCGAGCAGAUGUUUUCCUCUCGGUCUCGUGCUCGCACCAUCAAUAUCAGGAUGGCCAUGGCCAACAUGCAAAAGAGAAACAUGUCUGCUGCAGACUAUUUCUCCAAGAUGAAGGCCCUUGCGGAUGAACUUGCAUCUGCAGGGAAGAGGAUUGACGAUGACGACCUGAUUUCUUAUCUAUUGGCGGGUCUGGACGUCGAAUACAAUCCAUUGGUGGCAUCGGUUCUUGGGAGACCCACAACAUAUCCAAUUACUCUCAAUGAAUUCUAUGCUCAGCUCCUUAGCUAUGACACACGCAUGGAUAUUCUUCACUCUGGGGGCACCGGUGGCCCUGGAUUUCAAGUCAAUUCUGCUCGCCGAGGACGUGGCGGGUUUGGACAGCAUGGCCGUGCAGGAGGGCGUGCAGGAGGCCGUGGUGGUCGUACUGCACACCGCGGUGCAGGAAGCCGCGGAGGAGGCCGUGGUGGCUAG